rnacentral:lncRNA from 1 species
AUAACAAACACUGUGUGGUUACGAAUAGCUUCAAUAAUGCGUUCUUUUGCCAUGUUCUUGCAUGUGAAACACUCCAAACUAUCUGACACAUGCACAGGAAACUGUGUUACCCACACUGUGUGGGACAGGCACAUUCCUGCCCUGCCCUGCUCUGCGUGUCAAUUCGCGCAUGUCUAUGUAAACAGAUUGAACACAAAAUUCUAUGCUGUGCUGCGCUGUGCCACCUAUCUCUCCUGCGUCUCAAUGGGCGCCAGGUCUAAAGAACAGUUCGGCUAUUGACCGUUAUGAGCGCUAGUUACGUAGGAUACUAUGUUUGUGUACACGG